CUCAUAUACAGACAAAAAAAUCAAACAAUGAGAGUUCCCUUUGUAGUUCAUUAAUGCAAAGUGGCACUUUUUAAGAGCUGUUUUGUGCUCAUGGGCCAUGAAGUCAAGGCCUGGUGCUCUGAUAAAAGGAGCAGAUCUUGAAUAAACAUGGACUGCUAACUAGAAGAUUAUUGAGUGUCAGAGGGGUAAGAUUCUGGAAGUCUUGCAGUGAAGAUACUGAAGGAUCCUCACGAGUCCAAAAUACAGAUUUCAAGAGUCUCAAUACCACGUCUGCAUCUCUUGGUGAACCGAGAAGCUCAGCACAGAUUCAGUGUCCUCUCUCCACAUCUCCCAACGUUUUCCAUCCAGGGCUGCCCAGUGACUCCAUCCCCGUCUCUUCUGGGAGAGGUCUGCAGGCAAGCCAGGAUGCGGAGGUAAAAAGACAGGAGAUAACAGGAAACAAACCUGGGGAAGUCCUCAUCUUGCCACUCCUCCUUGACAUCCACGUUUUCCAUCCGUAAAGUGGCUUCUGUGGUUCCCAUGGUGCUCGGAGCGGGCUGGCUGGACAGCAGCUCCCCCAGGAAAGGGCUCAGGCUGGAAGGCGAAAGGCAGAGAGGUUGUUGUUGAGCAUCGCUACCUGGGAGUAUUUAAUGUGAACCAUUCAGAGCAGGCACAGGAGAUACCUUGGGGCUCAGAGAGACCCCACCUCCCUCCCUCCUCCCAGCACUGCCAGCUGCUUUCUGCUCACCCUGAAGGCAUCAUGGAGGGAGGGAGAGAGAGGAAAGAUGCUGAAGCAGAUCCCAGGCUGACGUUUCUUAACAUCAAACAUCGCCCAGCAGCGUGGAAGCCCAGAUGAUGCUGUACUCACCGAUGCUUGUGGCUAAUGAGGAACAAAGGAGGUGCUGCCUGUAUCCCAGCUGGACAUUCCUCCGGAGGGCGACGGGCUGCUCAGCAGGUCCAGCGCCUGGAUCCGGAUGCAGACGUGUGCGGCUUUCUCAGCGCAGGAGCAUGGGGAUGCAUCUAGAAGCAGGCAGAAGAUCCAUUAGGACAGAAAGAUGCUAGGACGUCUGUGACACUUGAUGGCUCUAAAGUUAAAUAUCAAAGUCCGCAGUGUCAUCUCCAGCUAAGCAAAUAGAGAUAUUAUUACAGGCAGAAAAGCUGUUUUGGAGUCUGCCACAGGAGGGCGAUGGAUCCCCCGAGCCUGGCUGUGCUGGAGCUGCAGGAGCCGGGCUCUAGAGGUCGCUUUGCACCAGGAGAUGGUUGAGCUGAGAGCUGACACUGUCCUCGUGGUUUCUCCAAAGAGAAAAGCAGAAAUAGUCAAGCAGAGGUUACAGCUUUUCAUUUAUGAGGAGGCGUGAGAGAGCGUGAAUCCCAGGAGCUGCCAAGGGCAUGAGGAGAGCGCUGUGAAGGAGGAACCCAAAGCUGGGUGCCAGCUGCAUGGAUAAACUCACACAGCUCCCAAGGGAUGAGGAAACCAAAUGCAUCCUGAUUCCCAGUUGCCCCCAGUGAUCCAUUUUACAUGGGAGAGUGAGGAGGAGAAAUGCAGAAUCCAGAAACAUGUGCAAAGCCGCUUCCUUGAGAUACCCCGAGGAAAGGCCCUGUAUGGCUCAGCAACCUUGGAAAACACGGUUAGUUUUGGGAAACACCAGACACUUUGGUGCUCCGCACAAAGAAAAGCGAGGAACAAGGUGCGAGCGCAGUUCAGAGCGUCCUGUCCGUGACCGUUGUGUGAAGCAGCUCUGCAGCGUUCCAGUACCACAGAUGUGCAUACAGGUGACGGUCUGGCAUCGGCAUGCACUUUCCCAGUAGCGAUGCAGAGCAGACCAAGGCACUCUCGAUUACAUUUCAUGCUGCUCUGCUGUUGGUUUAUUCAGGAAUAGCCCAAGCACCCCAGCUCUCAGCAAGAACAUCAAUUCAGCUCCUGGAGAUACAGGAACCCUUUUUGGAGCUGCUCCUCGGACACAGAU
rnacentral:lncRNA from 1 species